AGUCAUCUGGCAGCAGCUCGAGAAGCAUGUCCUCCACGCCGUCAAUCUGAGAGGCAGAGAGAGAGAGAAGGCAUUGAUCGGCCAGAGCCCUCCACUCCCUCCAUUCCUCACUCCUGCGCCUUCCCCUAGCUGGAAACAGCAGGUAGGAACCCAGGUGUGAGGAUUUCAGGGGCUCUUGGAGACUGCCCCUCCUCCCACCAGCCUUCAGCCUGUGACUGCCCACCAGAGAUGUCUUCCUGCGGCUAGCUGGUGGCUGGGAGGAAGUGGAGGCUGGAAUGCAAUGGUGUGAUCUUGGCUCACUGCGACCUCCACCUCCUGGGUUCAAGCGAUUCUCCUGCUUCUGCCUCCCGAGUAGCUGGGAUUACAGACAAAGAAUUCAAGACUAAACUGGGCAUGGUGACACGCACCUGUAGUCUCAGCUACUUGGGAGGCUGAGGCAGGAGAAUCACAUGAACCUGGCAGGCGGAGGUUGCAGUGAGCCGAGAUUGUGCCACUGCACUCCAGCCUGGCCACAGAGCGAGACUCCGUCUCAAAAAAAAAAAAAAAAGAAAAAAAGAAAAAAGAAGAAGUCAAGACUAAGAAGAGUGAAGUAUGAAGUAAUUCACCCACAGACACCCAGCUAGUGAGUGGCAGACCUGGAAGACAAACUAGUUCUGUUUGGCAUCAGAAUCUAUGCUGUCAGCCACCUCACCACAUUCAUG
rnacentral:lncRNA from 10 species